GUGGGGAAUAUUGGUCAAUGGGGGAAACCCUGAACCAGCAACGCCGCGUGAAGGAAGAAGGCUUUCGGGUUGUAAACUUCUUUGACAGGGGACGAAAGCAAUGACGGUACCCUGAAAACAAGCCACGGCUAACUACGUGCCAGCAGCCGCGGUAAUACGUAGGUGGCGAGCGUUGUCCGGAUUUACUGGGUGUAAAGGGCGUGUAGGCGGGGCGGUAAGUCAGAUGUGAAAUGUAGGGGCUCAACCCCUGAAUUGCAUUUGAAACUAUCGUUCUUGAGUGAUGGAGAGGCAGGCGGAAUUCCUUGUGUAGCGGUGAAAUGCGUAGAUAUAAGGAGGAACACCAGUGGCGAAGGCGGCCUGCUGGACAUUAACUGACGCUGAGGCGCGAAAGCGUGGGGAGCAAACAGGAUUAGAUACCCUUGUAGUCC
rnacentral:rRNA from 1 species